UACAGAGGGUGCAAGCGUUGUUCGGAAUCAUUGGGCGUAAAGGGCGUGUAGGCGGUCUGUUAAGUCAUGUGUGAAAUCCCUCGGCUCAACCGGGGAACGACGCAUGAAACUGACAAGCUAGAGUACCAAAGAGGGGGGUGGAAUUCCCGGUGUAGCGGUGAAAUGCGUUGAUAUGUGUCGGAACACCAAUGGCGAAAGCAAUCUCCUGGACGCAAACUGACGCUGAGAUACGAAAGCCAAGGUAGCAAACAGG
rnacentral:rRNA from 1 species